rnacentral:lncRNA from 1 species
CUUUAACCUAAAUAGAUACAGGAUUUUGUGAUAUGCUGUAAUAUACAGAUUUUUAUUUCUAUAUGGAUAAAAAUUUAUAUGUUUUUUCUGACAUCAUUUAUUGAAUAGUAUAAUUUUUCUACUGACUUUUAGUAUCAUAUCUUUUAUUACAAGUCCAAUGUAUUCAGCAUAUCUAUGGAUCUAUUUCUUGGUGCUUCCAUUUUUUCCCAUUGUUUAACGGUGUAUCACUGAGCCAAAGCAAACCAUUUUAAUUAUUAUAAUUAAAACACAUUUAAAUAUUGAUAGGCUAUUAUUGUUCAAAAUAACUUUGGUUCUUUCUUUCCAUUGAUUAUUUUAAUAUGACUUUUCCAAUCAAGUUCUAAAAAAAUACUGGUGGUAUAUUUAUUGAAAUAACUUUAAUGAAAUUAAAUGAAAGAUCAUGUAUUUGUUUUCUGAAUUAAUUCUUAGAUACAUUAAUGUUUUAUGUUACCAUGAAUGUGAUAUUAUAAUAUAAUAUUUUUAAUUGGUUGCUACUGUUUAUAAGAAUUUCAUUUUCUGUUUACUUUGCCUUCAUAUCUGAAAACCUUGCUGAUUUGAUUAGUGCAUCCACAAAUUUUCUUGGAUUUUCUAUGGGUAAUUACAAAUCUCCACACAAUGAGGUUGCAGUGAGCCAAGAUCACACCACUGUACUCCAGCCUGGGCGACAGAGUGAGACACCAUCUCACAAAAACACAUAAACAAACAAACAGAAACUCCACACAAUGACAACGUAUGUGCUUUCUUUUUUUCUUCCUCUUUCUAUAAUAUUUCUUUGUCCUAUCUUAACUGAACUGGCCAGAAACCCCAGGACAAUGAUAAAUACGAGCAGUGUCAACAGACAUCUCAUUCCCUUUCCUAGCUUUUAUAAAAAUAACGAUUAUGCUUCAACAUUACAUAUGGUGGUGUCGAUGGUUUUGUUAUAGAUAAGCUUAUCAGGUUAAGAAAUUUGUCUGCGUUUCCUAGUUUGGUAUAAAGAUUUUAAUAUAAAUGAAUGUUGUAUUUUAUCAUCUUAUUUUUUUCCUACAUCUGCUAAGGUAAUCCUGUGUUUUCCCCUUUUCAAUCUCCUAAUGUGGUGAAUGACAUUAAAAUACCUUCUAUUGUUAAAAUAUUCUUGCAACGCUGUAUAGAACCAAUGCCUUUAUUCUGUAUUGCUGAUGGAUUUUUGAAAAAUAUGUAGGUGGACUUAGUUUUCUAAGGGGAAUAGAAUUUCUAAUAUAUUUAAAAUAUUUUGCAUGUAUGUUCUGAAGGACAUUGGUGUGUCAUUUCUAUACCAUCUGGCUACUAGAGGAGCCGACUGAAAGUCACACUGCCGGAGGAGGGGAGAGGUGCUCUUCCGUUUCUGGUGUCUGUAGCCAUCUCCAGUGGUAGCUGCAGUGAUAAUAAUGCUGCAGUGCCGACAGUUCUGGAAGGAGCAACAACAGUGAUUUCAGCAGCAGCAGUAUUGCGGGAUCCCCACGAUGGAGCAAGGGAAAUAAUUCUGGAAGCAAUGACAAUAUCAGCUGUGGCUAUAGCAGCUGAGAUGUGAGUUCUCACGGUGGCAGCUUCAAGGACAGUAGUGAUGGUCCAAUGGCGCCCAGACCUAGAAAUGCACAUUUCCUCAGCACCGGCUCCAGAUGCUGAGCUUGGACAGCUGACGCCUUGGAUCAUCUGCCACUGAUCUCUGGUCAACAUUUUUAUCACCCAACACAAAAGAAGCAGAGAUUUAUCAAGUUACUUAAACAACCUGACCCUUUCAUCUUUUGCUACACAUACUCUUGUAAUUGAUCUCUCCAUGAAUUGUUUUCUGUUUAAAAUAUCUAGAAUGUUUUCUGCUUCCUGACUUGAUUCUAAUAUUGUAUAGGUACUAGAAAUGGUUCUAGAAAUAGAUCUUUAUAGAUGAGAAUCUGGAAGUGGUUUGCUGACCUGUUUCAGUCUGAAUGAAUUCCUGACCUUGUUGUCGGGAGGAGACAGAAACCUGAUCAUCUGUAGUGUACGGUGGUAUCAUGAUUACUUAAAUCAUCAAAUGUGGUUAUUGGGAAUGAUGUGUUUUUUAAAGUGGUACAUGAGAGGUAAAAUUGCUAUUGUAGUUGACUGUUGCAGUUAUAAUUUUGUCAACAUGGUCUGUAAGAGUGCAAUGGAGUCGGCCCGGUGUGGUGGCUCACGCCUGUAAUCCCAAUACUUUGGGAGGCCAAGAUGGGCCGAUCACGAGGUCAGGAGAUCGAGACCAUCUUGGCUAACACAGUGAGACCCCAUCUCUACUAAAAAUACAAAAAAUUAGCCAUGUG